UCUGGAGAUUGUAGUGGUGUCCAACACGGAACAUCCCAGAAGACUGCCUUGAAGAAAUCUGCUAUCCCCUCCUGUGACAUCUUUGUGAGGGGGCCUCACUGGCUCAUGCUCACGGAAGCUUACUACCAGGAUAUUGAUCCCCUGUCUGCGUGGCCCAGGGUCUUUAACACACAUCAAUAUUUCUUUUCUGAUGUGCUUCUUGGAAGUUUUGUCGUGAAGAACCAUUGUCCGUCCUUUAGUGGAAGUGUAACUUCCUACCAGCUUUCGAAGUCUUCACUUCAGAAGGAGCCAUCAUGUAGCAGCCUCCACCCUCAGGGUGCUUCUAUUGAGGAACCACCCAGUCAGACAUGUGGUAGCAGAGGGUGGCUCUUAUCAUCCACCAGAAUUUUAUUUAAAGUGCUAACGAUCAUCUAUGAAGGUCCCCAGAACAGUAUGUGGUUCUAGUGGAAAAAGUCUGGAUAACUUAAUAAAUUGGCUAUGUUUCAUCAACUAUAUCGAUUAUCUAUUUUGUUGUCUAUGUUGUUUAUUGUCAAAAAUGCAUAGAUGA